rnacentral:misc_RNA from 1 species
GAUGAAGAACGUAGCGAAAUGCGAUAAGUAAUGCGAAUUGCAGAAUUUCCGUGAGUCAUCGAAUCUUUGAACGCACAUUGCGCCCACUGGUAUUCCGGUGGGCAUGCCUGUUCGAGCGUCAUUAUCCCCCCUCAAACCCCGUGUUUGGUGUUAGACCCAAGUUGUGUGAACAACUGGUCUCAAAGACAAUGACGGCGUCCGUGGGACCCUCUUCGCAGUGAGCUUUUGUUAGCGCGCGUUGAGUUUAAAGGACCCUCCGGGCCUGCCACCUUUAUCUAUUUUACAAGGUUGACCUCGGAUCAGGUAGGAAUACCCGCUGAACUUAAGCAUAUCAAUAAGCGGAGGA